UGUAUAUAGUCAUUACAAACAUAAUUAAUGUGUGACUAGACUGUUUAUUUAUUUAUUUUUUUAUUUAAUGAAGUCUUCAGAAUCCAGCAUACAAGGUAUAUUUAACAGCACAUAUCCUUCUUAGUGCAUUACAAACCUUUUAGAAAUGUGCUUUUAUUGUAGAGAUUUAAAUUACCAACAUAAAUAAGUUUUUACAUAUUUUUGAUCAGUGCUAAAUACUUAAUCUAUAUGUAGACAUAGAAACUAAAAUCAUGUUUUUGAGUGGUCUCUCACACUUAUACACAUGCACCCCCCCUCUACGCAAGACCAGACAUUGUAAUUAUUGUUCUAAGCACAUUACAGACAGUAACUCAUUGAAUUCUCGCAAGACCUGAACACGGCACUUUCUGCCUUUAUUCUGGAAUCCAAGGGGAUUGGAUUGGCUGGCUGAGAUCACAGCCACCCAGUGGCUGGUCUGGAACUUCUGUUCUGACCAUCUCACCCUCUAAGCCAGGCCACUAUACCUUUGUUAAGAUAUGUCCAAAAUGCAUAAAAUGGAACAUAAACGUUCAUGAUAGUUAAGAUUUGAGAAAUGAUGAAAGGC
rnacentral:lncRNA from 1 species